AUGAUCUCUCCUUCUACCUGUCCAUGUUAAUGUUUAAGUGUUGCUUGUUGCCAAUGUGUAGAAUGGUAAUUUCCAAGAUUUAACCAAGCAUUGGUAAGUAAGCUGAUAUGCAUAAUUCAUGCUGCCCCCUGCAACCAUGCUGCUGCCUCUGUUAACCCUGUUGAUGUCCAUGAAUGGACCUCCCAUGCAUUCCUAUUGGUUCUAAAGCCAUGUUGAUGCAUGUGGUCCUUUUUACCAUGGGAUAACAUCCUGAAUGCCAUGACCUUUCUGGCCCUUUAUGACCAACUAAGGUAAGUGUUCUGUGUUGCCAUAGUGAAGAAUGUAAAUUUCUAAGAACUGAAAUACCAACUGAAACUAAGUUGAAAUCCAGAAUACAUCCUGCCACCUCCAGACAAGUUGAUGCCAUUGAUCCCUGCUGCCUUUGUUAAACAUAUGGAUGUCCAUGAGUGGACCUACCAUGUUAUUUCUACUAUUUUAGAAGUCUUAUUGAUGAGGGUUCUUCUUGCUCGUGGAUCUGAUGUUGAAGUCUGUCAUUCACCCUAUCAGCUGAGACCAUGUAGAUGCAAGAGUUCUGUGUUGCCAACAUGAAGAAUAUUAAUUUUAUGAUCACAACUACCAGCAGAAACCAUGUUGCUAUCCAUUCUACAUGAUGCUGCCUGAAACCAUGUGAAUUUAAUUGAUCCUUGCUGUCUGUUAACCAUAUGGAUGUCCAUGAUCAGAACUACUAUGCUAUUCCUACUACUACUGGAAGCAAUGUUGAUGCUCAUGAUCUUCUUACCAUGGACACCAGAUUGAUUUCCAUGAUCUCUCCUGUUAUGUGUGAUCAUGUUAAGGUAAGUGUUCCCUUUUGGAAAUAUAUAGAAUGGUAAUUCCCAAGAUUUAACCACAUGUUGGUAACUAAGCAGAUAUCCAUAAUUCUUGCUGCCACUUGCACCCAUGCUGAUGCCAUUGAUCCCUGAAUCCACUGUUAACCCUGUUGAUGUCUACAAAUGCACCUCCAAUACAUUCCUAUUGGUUCAGUAAUCCGUGUUGGUGCACAUGGUCCAUUUUACCACUGGAUAGCAUCCUGAUUGCCUUAAAUUCUGUGUCCCCAUAUGACCAUAUUUGGGUAAGUGUUCUAUAUUACAAAUGUGAAGAAUGUAAAUUUCCAAGAAUUGAUCUACCAACUGAAACUAGUUUGAUGUUCAGAAUGCAUGCUAUCCCUUCUGAACAAGUUGAUGUCAUUGAUCCCUGCUGUGUCUGGUAAACACUUGGAUGUCCAGGAGCUAUCCUACCAUGCUAUUCCUACUAUUUCUGAAAGCCAUGUUGAUGCCAGAGUUCUUUUUUGCCCAUGGGUCUUAUGUUGAUUUUCAUCAUCUGUCCUGUUACCUGAGACCAUGUUGAGUUCCAUCUUACCAAGGUGAAGAGUGUUGAUUUCCCUGCUGACAGCUCCUAGCAUCUUAAACUAUGCUGCUAUCCAUUCUACAUGCUGUCACCUGAAACCAUGUGGUUUAAUUGAUCCCUGCUGCCUCUGUAAACCAUAUGGAUGUCCAUGACUGGAAUUAGAGUGCUAUUCCUACUAUUUCUGGUAGCAAUGUAAUACUCAUGAUCUUCUAAACCACUGGACACCAGGUGGAUUUCCAUGAUCUCUCUUGCUAUGAGUGACCAUGUUAAGGUAAGUGUUCCUUGUUGCCAAUGUGUAGAAUUUUAAUUUCCAAGAUUUAACAAGCAGUGGUAUCUAAGAUGAUAUCCAUAAUUCAUGCUGCCACCUCCUACCAUGCUGCUGCCAUUGAUCCCUGCUGCCUUUAUUAACCCUGUUGAUGUCUAUCAGUGGACCUCCAAUGCAUUCCUAUUGGUUCUAAAGCCAUGUUGAUGCAUGAGGUCCUUGUUUCCACGGGAUAACAUCUUGAAGGCCAUGACCUCUCCUUCUUAGGACCAUGUUAAGGUAAGUAUUGUUUCCAAUGUGAAGAGUAUAAAUUUCCAAGAAUUGAAAUAUCAACUGAAACUAAGUUGAUAUCGGAAUGCAUGCUGCAAUCUCAAACAAGUUGAUGUCUUCAAUCCUUGCUGUGUCUGUUAAGCAUUUGGAUGACCAUGAGCAGACCUCUCAUACUAGUCCUACUAUUUCUGGGAGCCAUGUUGAUUCCAGGAUUCAUUCUUGCCCAUGGAUCUGAUGUUGAUGUCCAUCAUCUGUCCUGUUACCUGAGACCAUGUUGAUGCAAGAGUUCUGUGUUGCCAAUGUGAAGAAUGUUAAUUUCCCUGAUCCCUCAGCUACCAUCUAAACUAUGUUGCUAUCGUUCUACAUACUGGCACCUGCAACCAUGAGGAUUUAAUUGAUCCCUGCUGACUCUGUUAAUCAUAUGAAUGUCCAUGAUCAGAACUAGAAUGCUAUUCCUACUACUACUGGAAGCAGUAUGAUACUCAUGAUCUUCUUACCACUGGACACCGGGUUGAUUUCUAUGAUCACUCCUGCUACUAGUCACCACCUUAAGGUUCCUUGUUGCCAGUGUGUAGAAUGGUAAUUUCGAAGAAUAACCAACUGUUGGUAACUAAGUUGAUAUGCAUAAUUCAUGCUGCCACCUGCCCCUAUGCUGCUGCUAUUGGUCAGUGCUGCUUCUGCAAACCCUGUUGAUAGUAAUGAAUGGACUUUCCAUGCAUUCUUAUUGCUUCUGCAAGCCAUUUUGAUGCAUGUGGUCCUUUUUCCAAUGGGAUAACAUCUUGAUUGCCAUGAAUUCUCUACCCCUAUGACCGUAUUAAGGUAAGUGUUCUCUAUUGCCAAUGUGAAGAAUGUGAUUUCCAAGAAUUGAAAUACCAACUGAAACUAGUAUGAUAUCCUGAAUACAUGCUGCUACCUCCACACAAGUUGAUGUCAUUGAUCCCUGCUGACUCUGUUAACCUUAUGGAUGUCCAUGAUCAGAAGUACAAUGCUAUUCCUACUACUUCUGGAAGCAGUGUUGAUGCUCAUGAUCUUCUUACCACUGGACACCAGGUUGAUUUCCAUAAUCUCUCCUGCUAUUAGUGACCAUGUUAAGGUAAGUGUUCCUUCUUGACAGCAUGUAGAAUGUUAGUUUUCAAGAUUUAACAAGCAGUGGUAACUAAGCAGAUAUCCAUAAUUGAUGCUGCCACUUGCACCCAUGCUGAUGCCAUUGACCCCUGUAUCCACUGUUAACCCUGUUGAAGUCUAUGAAUGCACCUCCAAUGCAUUCCUGUUGGUUCUGUAAGCCAUGUUGGUGCAUGUGCUCUUUGUUACCAUGAGAAACAUCUUGAUGGCCAUGACCUUUCUGGCCCCUUAUGACCAUAUUAAGGUAAGUGUUCUGUGUUGCCAAUGUGAAGAAUAUAAAUUUCCAAGAAUUGAAAUAUCAGCUGAAACUAAGUUGAUAUCUGGAAUACUUGCUGCCACCUCCAAACAAGUUGCUGUCAUUGAUCCUUGCUGCCUCUGUUAAUCAUGUGAAUGUCCAUGAGUGAGUGGACCUACCAUGUUAUUACUACUACGUUUGGAAGCCAUGUUGAUGCCAGGGUUGUUCUUGCCCAUGGAUCUGAUGUUGAAGUCCAUCAUCUGUCCUGCUACCUGAGAACAUGUUGAUGCAAGAGUUCUGUCUUUCCAACAUGAAGAAUGUUAAUUUCUCUGAUCUCAACUACCAUUGGAAACUAUAUGGCUAUCCAUUCUACAUGCUACUACCUGAAACCAGGUGGAUUUGCCCUGCUGCCUCAGUUAACCCUAUGGAUGUCCCAUGAUCAGAACUGCAAUGCUAUUCCUACUACUUCUGGAAACAGUGUUGAUGCUCAUCAUCUUCUUACCACUGGGUACCAGGUGGAUUUCCAUGAUCUCUCCUGCUGCCUAUGACCAUGUUAAUUUAAGUGUUUCUUGUUUCCAAUGUGUAGAAUGUUAAUUUCCAAGAUUUAACCAAUCGUUGGUAACUAAGUUGAUACACAUAAUUCAUGCUGCCACCUGCUACCAUGCUGCUGCCAUUGAUCCUUGGGCCUCUGUGAACCCUGUUGAUGUCCAUGAAUGGACUUCCCAUGCAUUCCUAAUGGUUCUGAAAUCCAUAUUGAUAUAAGUGGUCCUUGUUACCAUGGGAUAACAUCUUGAUUGCCAUGGCCUCUUUUGCCUCAUAUGACCAUAAUAACUUUUCUGUUGCCAACGUGAAGAAUGUAAAUUUCCAAGAAUUGAAAUACCAACAGAAACUAAGUUAAUAUCCUAAAUGCAUGCUGCUACCUCCAAAUAAGUUGAUAUCAUUGAUCCCUGCUGCAUUUGUUAAACAUGUGGAUGUUGGUGAUCAGAUGUACAAGGCUAUUCCUACUACUUCUGGAAGCAGUGUUGAUGCUCAUGAUCUUCUUACCACUGGGUACCAAAUUGAUUUCCAUGAUCUCUCCUGCUAUGAGUGACCAAGAUAAGGUAAGUGUUCCUUAUUGCCAAUGUGUAGAAUGGCAAUUCCCAAGAUUUAAUGAACCUUUGGUAACUUAGCAGAUAUCCAUAAUUCAUGCUGCCAUCUAUACCCAUGCUGAUGCCAUUGAUCCCUUCUGCCUCUAUUAACACUGUUAAUGUCUAUGAAUGGACUCCCAUGCAUUCCUAUUGGUUCUAAAGCCAUGUUGAUGCUUGUGGUCCUUGUUUCCAUGGGAUAACAUCUUGAUGGCCAUUACCUCUCUGGCCCCUUAUGAACAUACUAAUGUAAGUGUCUGUGUUGCCAACGUGAGGAAUAAUAAAUUUCCAAGAAAAGAAAUACCAACUGAAACUAAGUUGCUAUUCACAAUGCAUGGUGCCACCUCCAAACAUGUUGAAGUCAUUGAUCCCUCCUGCCUCUGUUAGACAUGUUGAUGUUUAUGAUUGGAAUUAUAAUGAUAUUCCUACCACAUUUGGAAUCCACGAUGAUGCCCAUUGUUUUUGUACCAGUAGAUACCAUAUUGAUUCCUGUGAUCUCUCCUGCUGUCUUUGACCUUGUUAAAUUAUGUAUUCUGUGCUGCCAACUUGAAGAAUGUUAAGUUCCAAGAUUUAACCAUUGAAAUGUUAAAUUUCCAAGAUUUCAUCAGUCUUGGAAACUAAUUUUAUACCCAUAAUUCCUGGUGUCACCUGCAUCCAUGCUCAUUUUAUUGAUCCCUGUUGCCUCUGUUGCCAAUGAGGAAAAUGUCAAUUUUCAAAAUUUAAUCUACAAUCUGAAAAUAAGUUGAUAUCCAUGAUUCAUGCUGCCUGCCACCUGCAACCACGUUGAUGCCAUUGAUCCCACAUGCCUCUGUUAACCAGAUUGAUGUCUAACAUAGGACCUAACAUGCUAUUCCUACUAUUUCUGGAAGCCAUGUUGAUGUGUAUAGUCCUUCCUACCACUGCAUACAUUGUUGAUUUCCAAGAUCUCUCCUGUCCCUUGUGACCACACUAAAGUAAGUGUUCUGUGUUGCCAAUAUGCAAAAUGCUAAUUUCCAAGAUUCAACUCACCAUCCAAAAGUAAGAUGAAAUCCAUAAUUUAUGAUGGCACCUAAAACUAUGUUGAUGUCUUUGAUCCCAAGUACCUCUGUUAACCAAAUGGAUGUCCAUUAUCAGAUGGACCUACUAUGGUAUUCCUACUAUUUCUGGAAGCCUUAUUGAUGCUUGUGGUCUUUCUUACCCAUGGAUAUGACAUUGAUGUCCAUCAUCUCUUCUGUCACCUGAGACCAUGUUGAUUCAAGAGUUCUGUGUUGCCAUCUUCAUGAAUGUUACUUUCCGUGAUCUCAGCUGCCAUCUGAAACUAUGUUGCUAUCUAUAGUACAUGCUGCCACCUGUAACCUUGUUGAUGUCACUGCUGCCUGCUGCCUCCUUUUCCAUGUUGAUGUCUGUCGUGAGCCUUACCAUGCUGUUCCUAUUGGUUUGAAGGCCAUGUUGAUGCCUUGUGGUAUGUUUUGCUCCUGGAUAAGAUGCUGAUGUUAAAUGGUUUGUUCUGCCACCUGAGACCAUGCUGAGGUAAGUUUUCUGUGUUGCCAGCAUGAAGACUAUUGAUUUCCAUGAGUUGACCUAUGGUCUGAACCUAAGUUGAUAUCCAUAAUUCAUUCUGUCCCUGAUACCAUGUUGAUAUCACUGAUCCUUGCAUCUUUGUUUAUCAUGUUGAUUACCAUGAUCUGACCGACCAUGCUGUCCCUACUGCUUCUGGAAGCCGUGUUGAUGUCUGUGGUCCUUGGUGCCCCUGGAUAUGAUGUUGAUGUCGAUGUUCUGUCCUGACUCCUGAAUCCAUGCUGAGGCCACCAUAUUGAUGUCACUGAUCCUUGCCGCAUGUUUUAACUAUGGUGAUAUCCAUGAUCCAAUCUUCCAUUCAAAACUUUGCUGAUGUCAUGGAUCUUUCUGACUUCUGCUAUGUUGCUGCCAAUGAUCUGCCCUACCACUCAAUCCCUGCUGUUUCUGGAAGCCAUAUUGAUGCCUGUGGUCCUUGUUGCCCCUGGAUACGAUGUUGCUGUCCAUGUUCUGUCCUGCCACCUGAGGCCACACUGAGGAAAUCAUGUUGAUGUCCCUGUUUCUUGCUGCAUCUUCUAACCACAUUGAUGUUCAUCAUCCAACCUACUCUCCACAACUUUGUUGAUGUUACUGAUGUGUUGGAGCUGUCAACCAUGUUGAGGUUACUUAAUUUUGCUACCACCUGUAACCAUAUUGAUGUCUGCAAUCUACACUGUGAUCUGAAACAAUGUUGAAGUCAUUCAUCCAUACUACUACCUGAGACCCAGUUCAAGUAAGUUUCUUGUGUCGCCCAUCUGUACAAUAUUGAUUUCCAUGAUCUGACUGCCACCUGAAACUAAGUUGAUAUCCCUGAUCUGUACUGACAUAGGCAACCAUAUCGAUGUGACUGAUUCUCACUGCCUCUCUUAGUCUUGCUGGUAUCCAUGAUUCGAACUACCGUCUGAAACUUUGUUGACGUCACUGAUCUGCGUGUUUGAUGUUACUGAACCCUGCUACCACUUGUAGCCAUACUGUAGUCUGUAGUCUGCAAUCAUCUGAGACAAUGCUGAAAUCAGUGGUGCAUGCUAUCACCUGAGACCCAGUUCAUGUAAGUGUCCUGUGUUGACAAUGCAUACGAUGUUGAUUUCUGUGAUCAGUCUGCCACUGGAAACUAAGUUGAUGUACAUGAUCUGCCACAGACUUCCAUCCAUGUUGAUGUCACUGAUCCCUGUUGCCUGUGUUAACGAUGUUGAUGUUCAUUAUCUGACUUAACAUCUAAAAUUAUGUUGAUGUCACUCAUCCAUGCUGCCGUUUAUAACCAUGUUUAUGGUCAUAGUCUGUGUUGGAAUCUUAGACCUUGUGGAUGUCCAUGGUCCACGUUGCCACUUGAAUCCAUAAUGAUGACAAUGAUGACUGUACUCUGUGCUGGUGCUGGGGAGUAGGUCGAUAUGCAUGAUCCAAGCUGCCAGCAGAAACCAUUUUGAUGUCGUUAAGCCAUCCUGGUGCUGGAGACCAUGUUGACAUCUUUGUCCUUGCUACCACCAAAAACCACGUUUAUAUUCGUGCUCUGGGCCGCCUGCUGAAGACCACUUAGAUAUCCAUGACCCAGCCUCUGAUGGAAACUGUGUUGUUGUCUGUGGUCAGUACUGCCACAAGAAGGCAUCCUGGUGUUAUUGAUCAGUGAUGCCUCCUGCAGACAUGUUUGUUGGUGAUCUGUGUUGAAGUUAGGGACCAGAUGGAUGUCAUCUAAGCUGUCACCAGAAAUCUUGAGGACCAUGACCUGUGCUGCUGCUGGAAAGCAUGUGGAAGUCUUUGAUCCAUUCUGCUGCUGGAAAGCAUGUGGAAGUCUGUGAUCUGUACUGCCACUGACAUUUCUUGUCAAAGAAGCUUCUUUUGUAGUAGUGUCCAUGACUGCAGAAUCAUAACUGAAAAUGACAGACAUUGAAGGCUUCUGUGCCACUCUCUAGACAGGACCUAACUGAAGAGAGUCCUUGGAAAUUGUAAUAAAUAUGCUUAAUUGUAGCUCUUCAUAUUUCAUGGCUUCAGGUGGGGGUUUGGGGAAGGACUCCUUUUUAAGUGGCUGGCCACUACAAGUCUGACCAUGCUCCAAUGAGGAUAUGGGCAACACAUAUUUGACUUGUUGUAGUGUAUUUUUUCUAUUCUGGGGGAGAAUGGCACAAGGGUGUGGGUGGACCAGGGAGGAAUAUGAAGCAAGUGUGA